rnacentral:rRNA from 1 species
UACGAGAGGCCCAAGCGUUAUUCGGAAUUACUGGGCUUAAAGAGUUCGUAGGCGGCAUUGCAAGUCGGGUGUGAAAGCCCUCGGCUCAACCGAGGAAUUGCGCUCUAAACUGCAGUGCUUGAGGAACCUAGAGGUGAGCAGAACAGAUGGUGGAGCGGUGAAAUGCGUUGAUAUCAUCUGGAAUACCGGAGGCGAAGGCGGCUCACUGGGAGUUUUCUGACGCUGAGGAACGAAAGCCAGGGUAGCGAACGGG